CACUGGGCCCCACCAGCCAAUGAACAAAUACUUAGGAGAGGAUCCCCAGCAGAGAUUAAGGAAUGACCCUGUUCUAGGAAAGGAGAUUCAGUGCCUGUUGCAUUAUGUCAUUUUAAUCUUUCUUCUGUCUCAGCCAUCUUUAUUCCAUAUCAUUACUGAUAUUUCUCUGGAUUUCUGUGUCAUCCUGCUUCAUAACAUUUUAUUUAUUUGUUGUACUUACUAAAACUGAGGGGUUUUCAGCAAGUUUUUGUGGAGAUACAGAUUUUAUCUUUUUGAAAAUCUUCGGAUUCAUUGUGUUAAUAUAUGGAAUUUAAUUUGGAAAAAGGAACUUUUUUCCCACAUUGGUAUUAGGGACUCAGAAUUUAUUUAUUUGCCUCUUGUACACUUCCUUUCUUUGUGUUGUAUGCCAAGAUGUUUCUUGUGACCAUUCUGUAAAAGGAUGCAGUAUUUUUUACAGUGUGUUGAACUCCUUAGUUUUAAGGAGGUUUUCUCAAUUUUUCUAUUAAUAUAUAUAGGUCCAAGUUGAUAAGAUUUCACUUGAACUACUGAGCAAGACAGGCUGAAGAUUCUGGUUGUAAGGAUGUGUGAAAAAUCCAAGAGUCUUUGGCAUACAGUUUGUGGGUUGGCAGCAUUUCCAUCUGCCUUGAUCCAACACACAUUUUAAUUUUGUACAAUGAACUGAGUGUAAAUGGAGCUGUGGUGUGAAAUGCUCAGAGUCAGCACUCCUGAAAGCAGCGUAUGUUGAAGUGCAGCAUCUGUGACUACAAAUCUGCCCUUCUGGGACACUGUGCAAAAUGAUGUAACGGAGUGAAAAAGCUCUGCAGAGAUAGAUUUCACCUGCUGUAACUGAGUCUUUGCUGCAAUACUUCACGAGGCCCGGGUGUGAUGCUUUCCUGACUGUGCAGUGGGAUUGUAUUGUAGGAAAAAAGCUGUUGGCAAUAACAGCUGGAAAUCCUGAACCUUUAGUUUGCUGCCCUGCACCUGAGCUGCAGCUCUGCUACAAAGAGGCAACACUAAGGAAAGCCUUUAGUGCUUGGGGGCUAGGAUUCCAAGAGGAAAAUUUUCUUGGCCUUGUUUGGUCAGUCUUUGAGGAUGGCAAGCAAAGGACCCACAACUUCUGCAUCAACAAAGAGCUCCAGUACUGGAGGGACCAGUGGCAGCAGUAGCAGUAAUGGUUCUGGGGACAGCACUAAUCAGGACAACACUUUUGAAUGCAACAUCUGUUUAGACACUGCCAAGGAUGCAGUUAUCAGCUUGUGUGGGCACCUCUUUUGUUGGCCUUGUUUACACCAGUGGCUAGAGACCAGGCCAAACAGACAAGUGUGUCCUGUAUGCAAAGCAGGAAUCAGUCGAGAUAAAGUUAUUCCUCUGUAUGGAAGAGGCAGCACUGGGCAACAGGACCCCAGAGAGAAAACUCCACCACGGCCCCAAGGACAGAGACCUGAACCAGAGAACAGAGGGGGAUUCCAGGGCUUUGGGUUUGGCGAUGGUGGCUUCCAGAUGUCCUUUGGAAUUGGGGCGUUUCCCUUUGGUAUAUUUGCAACAGCCUUCAACAUAAACGAUGGGCGACCUCCUCCAGCUGUUCCAGGGACUCCUCAAUAUGUGGAUGAGCAGUUCCUUUCCCGCCUCUUCCUGUUUGUGGCACUGGUGAUAAUGUUCUGGCUGUUGAUUGCAUAAGUCUUUUCCAUUAUUCUAUAUAUUCAUGACCAACAAGGCCACUGAAACAGUUACAAACUGCAUCCCCAUCCCAUUUUAAACCUCUUGGUGUCUGGUUCCGUAGCUACCUAUGGGCUUCAGGAAUUGGUGGUACCACAGCACAAUGAGGAAUCUCACAUUUUGCACCAGAGUUGGUAAUUAAAACAUUGGUUUAAAAGUGUAUUUCAGCUCAGAUAUCUUGUACAACAGGUUCCUGCCACAAACCAUGGGCUAGCAUUGAGCUGCACUCCGAAAGGGAGUGCUGCUUUGAAAUCCUGUGCCAAUCAGUGACACCAGGUCUGUGGGAUACACAGUUAUCCCAACUCAGACUGGGCAGGUAAGGAAACUUCUCCAGUGUGACCAGUAUCUCCUGCUUUGCAACCACGAUGGAUCUGCCAGAGCUGCAGAUGUUAUUUAAUGUCUCCAUCAACAUCCGACCUUCUCCAGGAAAUCAUCUGCAGCACUGCUGAGACUCUCUGGGGCACAGCACGUGAUGCAAACGGAACCAGGUCUGGAGACUGGUUCCGGUUUCUUUUCCGUCUGUUAUUUCCCGGCGUGAUGGAAAACCCUUCCUGAUGGUUCUGAUGGCUGUUAGAAGAAGGGAUACAAACUUAUGCUGCAAUUUUUUAAAACCUGAGCAUGCUGGAGCCAGACACUGGAAGAUUCUCUGGCUGUGGAGCCAGGUGGGCCGCCGGGCCCAGCCCAGUUCCUCACUGACAAACAGUGUUGUCUUCCCCGGCUCUGUGCAGCACCUGUGCUGCACUCAUGGAUAAUCCCCUCACAGCCUCAUCACUGUAGCCACAUUUAUCUUUCCCAAGGCUUUGAGACUUUCUAUACAAGGUCAUGUACUCCAGAUAAAUCCUAUUACAGAUCUGAGAUCACUUUGUUUGGGGAGAGGAAAAAAAGGCAUAUUUAUGUGAGUUUUGAGGUAAAACUUGUCAUAAUGUGAAGUUACACAGGAGGAGACCUGAGAUCCUGCCUUUGCCAGCAUAUGCUCAGUAGGGAACAUUUGGAAGACCUCCUCUCUGCAGGUGCACACAGACCUUCUCCCGUGCCACAGCAGAGCAGCUACAGCGCAAGAGUCUCUGCAGCUAAAAUCUACCAAAGAUUUUAAUUUGAAGUGCUGGAGGAGACCACAACCAUUAAUGUGCUGAGGGGAUAUUUCAGAAGAUUUUUUUGAUUCCGGUCGCUCAUCGUCAUAAUGAUUUCCUGCAAGGUGAAUGUUGUGACUUUCCUGGCAGUAGACAGAAAAACUGAAAAGCAAAUCAAUUAAUAGAAACUUUGUUUCAAUAGCUUGGGAUUUUUUAGCAUAUGGCAGAGUUUCCUGGGCAGAACACCUCUAAUUAAUUGUUAUAGAAGUUUAUUUAUGUAAUUAUAAACUGUUUCCUUUUAGUGUCAAGACAGAGUAUGACUGAAGUUUAACUUGCCUACCUCCAAAAUUCCAUCUGGCAAGUAGAAUGUUGCAAAGCUUCUGCAGUGCUUUGUCGUGUCAGAUUUAUACCUGACACAAUGAUAAUCUGACAGAAUAUAUUGCUCAACUAUUAUAGUUGAGGUGGUGCUUCAGCUUUUGUUGUGCAACACUUCUGAGUAGCUGAACUUCGGCACAGGGUUCUUCUCAAGUGUGUAACUUGGUAAGUGGGGCCCUUCCCAGGGGGACAGGCUGUUUUGUUUGGUUGUCCUGCAAUGUCCUAGCUUUGGGUUCCUCUCCUGCGCAGUCAGCACCACCUGCUGAUGGGAAGGGAAGGUUCAUGUGUCAGUAAGGGAUGGAUUCCUUCUCCUUUUGUACGGAGAAAUUCGAUGCUGAGAGGUUAUGCAGGGAGAAGAAGGGUAGCCCUUUGAAGCCUUUACCCCAUAAAGAGGACAGAGAGUGACUGCAAUAGAUUCAAGAGGUACUGAAAUAUAUUUAAGUAAUACAUUUUAAACCCCAGAAUUUUAAUGGCUUGGGGGCAGGGAUUUCCAUCUAGGAGUGAGAAACAUAAUGGAUUUAGAGAAGGCUGCAGAAGUAUGGCUGAGAGCUCUUAUUUUCCGGCAAUUCAAGGAUGAAAUAGUCUAAAAGUGUUAACGCUUCGUUCCCCCUUUCCCUGGUGUGCUUUUGUAUGUACCCCUUCCCGUAACCCGACCGCACACGGCCCGGACGGCUCGGUUAGUGCGUUACCGUUCCUCCUCACUAAUUUUCACUGUUGUGAAAGUGAUUUAGAAUUAAAAAAUGGUUUUACAUUGA